AGUGAACGCUGGCGGUAGGCCUAACACAUGCAAGUCGAACGGCAGCACAGUAAGAGCUUGCUCUUACGGGUGGCGAGUGGCGGACGGGUGAGGAAUACAUCGGAAUCUACUUUUUCGUGGGGGAUAACGUAGGGAAACUUACGCUAAUACCGCAUACUACCUACGGGUGAAGGCAGGGGAUCUUCGGACCUUGCGCGAUUGAAUGAGCCGAUGUCGGAUUAGCUAGUUGGCGGGGUAAAGGCCCACCAAGGCGACGAUCCGUAGCUGGUCUGAGAGGAUGAUCAGCCACACUGGAACUGAGACACGGUCCAGACUCCUACGGGAGGCAGCAGUGGGGAAUAUUGGACAAUGGGCGCAAGCCUGAUCCAGCCAUACCGCGUGGGUGAAGAAGGCCUUCGGGUUGUAAAGCCCUUUUGUUGGGAAAGAAAAGCAGCAGGUUAAUACCCCGCUGUUCUGACGGUACCCAAAGAAUAAGCACCGGCUAACUUCGUG
rnacentral:rRNA from 1 species